AUCUCCCGAUCUAAAUACAAAAUCAACUUCGCUCUGUUUUCUAAUUAUUGUUACAAUCUAGUACAAUUUCUAGUUUAUUUUAUUAAACGAAAAUAUAAAAUAACUUUAUAUUUGCGAACGCAGGGAAAAUGUAUUAGAAAAAAGGAAAAAUGUACUAGCGUAUAAAAUACACUAAAAUGUACUAAAAUUGUACUAGCUCUGGCAAUACUGAGUGGAGGUUAUACAGUUCCUCUCUUUUCUUAAACUGUUCAUUAAAAAAUAGUAAAUCAAGGUACCAUUGGAAAGAGAAUUACAAGACACAGAAAAAAGAUACAAACAACAGAAAUGAUUUUCUUCCGAAGCUAAAAUGGUUCGGAUAUGUGAUGAAUGAGGCAAAGAUUACAAAAAAAAAUUAAUAAAUGUUAUGAGUUUCAAUUUGUUUACUAAGUGUAAUGAUUCUCUUAUUAACUAUAAUUCUGUGGUCAACAGAAAAAGAAGAAUUUGACUUAUGUUUUUGACUUUAGUAGAUCCUAGAAUUAAAUAACGUGUGUAUUAGUUUGUAGAAAUAAAUCCAUGACAAUCUUGGUCAUCACUUGUAAAAAUGUUUUAGUAGGAAUAUAAAUAGAAAUCCGUUACACAAUUUAAUCAAGUCUUAUAAAUAAAAUUCAGAACAGUAAGGGUGAGAAACAGAGGAAACCCAAGGAAGAUAUGGAUGGACGAAAUCAACAAAUCGAUUGAGAAAGUCUCGAUGAAAAAAGAAAUCAACCCCAGGUCUUACACUCGUAAGGUAUAUUCAAUGGUUUCCACGGUGAUUGUCUAAUAGAAAUUCAUUCGAGAUUUAAUCUAUUUCCAUUGGAAAAUUCACAAACAACUUCUUUGUAUCUCCAAAUUCUUUCAAUAACUAGAAAAGGAGCUGAUGGUUUUGCAAAAUGUUUAAUCUGUAGCAUAUCUUACACUGGAAGUGCUAAUAUUAAGGCAUAAACUAUAUUCACUUAAAUUAACGAUCUUGUUUUAAUUACCAACUUAAAUUAGAAUUUCAAAUUGUUAUUGCAUUUAAUGACACAUAAAAGCAAAAAAAGCCCAGCAACAUCUUUACUUGGAUAUUAUUGGCCUAUUUCGGUGUCAAAAAGUAGUACAUUUUAGUAAAAAAAGUGCAUGAAUUUGGUGAAAACGUUUAUUUCCUUCCCAGAAUGAACAACCACAUUUGUUUUAAAAUUUGAGGGACCCAAAUCUAUAUAAAAUAUAAAAUUUCGUUUUAAUAUCUUAAGUUCCAGUUUCAUGUUUAUGCGCGAUGCUGAAUUAAAGCGUCAAAAUGUAGUCACGUGAUAUAAUUUCGACUAGAGCACCAUCUUGAAUUAAUGCAAUGUCAAAUUUAAAAACGUCAACCUCUAAACACCCUGUUAAUAGUUGGUUAAACUAUAAACAUAAUGUGUGCAAAUAUAAAUUAUCAUUUAAAAAACUUCUAUGAACAUUCUACAUUUUUAAGUUAAAUACACGAUUUAAAAACCUAAAGAUGCUUAGUUUUGACGUUGAUUUAAUGAGGGAGAGAUGACGCUCAAGUCAAAAUUGUACUAUGUGACAUCAUUUGAUGCCAUAAACCAACACUAAACUACAUUAUGCGCAAAAGUGAGGUUAAGCUCAUUACCUAUUUACUUGAAAUAUAACGUCAAUCACUUAAUUGACAGUUGUACGUGUAAACAGAAUUAAUAUUAAAGUAGUAAUUGGAAUUGUACUAUUGAAAGAAAGUCAAAAGUUAGAAAGAUAUACAUAUCUUGACUUUUUUACUAAAAUGUACAUGUAUGAUAUAUACCAUAUGCCGAUAAUAUUCUAGUUUAAAUUGGUAAAAUAUGUUUAAUCUCAUAUAUAAAAAACGAAAAACUAUUCGUAAUAAGCUCGUUAUAUUAAAACAGACUGAAUUUUUUUAUAAACUCUAUUAAAUUGUUUGCAGGAUAUUACGAUUAAAAAUUGUUUAAAUGUCUAUAAAAUAAUGAACCUACCAAAUAUGUUUUCAGAUUUAUUGUCAUAUGAGUUUCGCAUAAUCUUAACCUAACAAAAUAAGUUUUUGUAAUUAGAUGAUGAAACAUGGAUUAAAAUUUUCCUAGAUACAUAUAUAGCACUUAGAACACGAUUUGACCCGGAAUUUUGGUCAUCGAUAUUCUGGAUAUCCUGGAAACGUCGCAAUUUUAAUUCUGCAUAAUAUAUUAGAUGUUGUAAAAAUAUUGGGAUUGAAGAAUAUCUUCAAUUUUUCCGUUUUUCAAAACUGGGCAAAUUGGAAACUUGUCAAGGGAUAAAAAAAGGGUCUGACAAGGUCUGCAACCAAAGCUAUUAUAGAAAAUUAAAAAGCAUCUUCCUUUAUAUUAUUUCAAGUUGCUGAGAUCCUAACAAAGGGAUUCGCUUAUUACAGCAGAAACAUCGCUAUUUGCAGUUGACACAGACAUCCUAGCAACUCAUGAAAAUCCUGUGGAGACAUUUAACACACAACAGAAUCACCUAGAUCAAUUGAAAGUUUGGCGGCUGCACAAAUGGAAAAUCAAGAUCAAUGAGUCCAAAUCUGCACCGUAGUAUAUAUCAAACCAAACUAUACGUGAAUAUCUAAAUGUACUAAAAUUAAGGAUGUAAUUAAAGAAAAAAGCCACAGAAAUAGCCGUCAGACCUAAUCAUGUCAACACAUUAACCUAAAGAGAUUGUUUUUUUUUUCACAAUAUAUUUUUACUUUUAGUAGUUUGUAACACGAAAAUUGUGAUAUCCUGCAUAUACCGUAUACUUAUGUGCUAAUUUCCAAAGCGAAGCUGUAGAAGAAAUCAAAAAGUAGUACAUGAUUUUCAAGAAAUAUUUGGUAUUCAAAUAAAAUAUAAUUCUCAAUAGUCAUUUUCCAGAAAUUUUAAUUGUACCAAUAGAAAAAAUUUGGCAAUUAAUGAUGAAAAUGAAAAAAUGAUCUUCACCAUGCAACAAUUUCUUUUUGAAUAUUUAACUGGGAGGGAUUGGACUAGUGUUUGUCCGAUUAUCUGUUUCCUGCCUUUUGGAGUACUGAAAGAAUGAAAUUAAGAUUCCUGGGAAUAUCUCCUUGAAUUUCUAUUAAUAUUUUUUUUGCAAUAAGUUCUGCCGCAAUUUUCUGAUUUCUGUCAUGGAAUGAUAGUUUAUAAUCGAUAUUAUUAUAAACAUUUUUUUUGUAAAACGCUAAUGUUAAGUUAGGGAGAUCCAUUUGGAUAUCUUCUUUGUUCUAGAGUUUCAUUCUUUCAUUUAUAUUCAGUUCGAAGGGCCAGAAAGUAUCAUUGUUAGUUUGCUAUAAUUCCAAGCACAUAUUCACCAUUCAAUUUGUUUAUUUAAAAUAAUUCAUACCAAAUUGGAGAAACUUUAAAUUAUUAUUGCUUUUAUUUGACCCAUGUUUAGCUCAACACCCUAUUGACAAAAGUUCUUCUGCAUAUAUUGAAAUAUAAUUUUUUUAAAACAUAAUUUCUACUAAAAAUUUGAUUGGGAUUAAAACAAAAUAAAAAAAAUACUUCGAUUGUUUAUUAUCGUUUACAUAGAAAAAAAAUAACAUAUUCUCUAAAAUCUAAUAUUUUAUCUAUACAGGAUGUAUAAAAAUGUAUUAGCUUAACAAAAAUUUUAGUUGUAGGAUUCAGAGAUUUAAUUGCAUGUCAUUAUUUGAAACUUCGAUUUUUGUACAUCCUGUAUGGUAAAAAAUAUUGUCUUUAAAUAAAAAAAUCAAAAUAAAUGGGAUGAUAAUAAUAAAGGUAACUCUAAAUCACAACAAUAGGAACUAAAAAUCCUAACAAAAGCUUUUAAAGAUAAUUUAAAUAUUUAUAAUGUAAUUUUUUUCGAGUUUAUGAAAAUUGAAUCAAAAAUUUUGACAAAAAUUCUACAACUAUUUAUUAAUAAUUUUGUAUAGGGUAAAUCACAAUUAGCUGUAACUAUAGGUAAUAUUUUUUCAAAAAUUUGUAUAAGGGAGUUUUCCAAAGACCUCGUUACAGUUAAAAUAUUUCCAAUUCUUUUCCAGUGGAAAUGAAUCUGUUUCUUUGAAAACCCUGUAAAACAUUUUUCCAAUAUCAUAACUUUAUUUGAAGUAUCAUAUGUCUAGAAUUCAAAUGACGAUUCUAUUUUUUGGCUUCUUGCUUACAAUUUUUGCUUGUCUAAAUCAAGUUUUUGUAAAAUUUUGAAAAAACUAAAACUCGUUCCUAAUCAGUUUUUUUUUUAAAUAUUUCCAAAUAUUUACGUGUUUUCAGUCAAGAUAUUUUGAGUUUAUUAAAAUUUUUAAAACAAUUAAAGUAACAGUAUAACAACAA